AAGUCGUAACAAGGUUUCCGUAGGUGAACCUGCGGAAGGAUCAUUAACACGUAUCCACGUUAAACCAACCGUGCACUUUCAAUUAUGCGUUGUUUUUGAGCUCGAGUUCGAAGACGAUUCGUUUCGGCUCGGCGCUUGCACCGGCUGACGAGAGUGAAACUGGAAGGGUACGGAACUCGACAGUUUCGACGUGGGGCUGGAAAACUCGAUUUAUUUCAAAGGACGAUCCGUUCUGGGCCGGAUCGAAAUUUGUGGUAAUGAGAGGGUUCUGGAACUCUACGGGGUAACUGUCUGAGUUGCACAUCCAUUUCAAACCCCUUAAAAAAAAUUGACAUCCGAGACCUCAGGGUAAAACCGAGGCUCGAGCAACCGAACAACUGUUAACAAUGGAUAUCUUGGUUCUC
rnacentral:misc_RNA from 1 species